UGGGGGAUUUUGCACAAUGGGCGCAAGCCUGAUGCAGCGACGCCGCGUGAGGGAUGAAGGCCUUCUUGUUGUAAACCUCUUUCGCUGGGUUGAAAGGCCAUGCUUUGGGUGUGGUUGAUUUGAACUGGUAAAGAAGUACCGGCUAACUACGUGCCAGCAGCCGCGGUAAUACGUAGGGUACUAGCGUUGUCCGGAUUUAUUGGGCGUAAAGGGCUUGUAGGUGGUUUGUCGCGUCUGUCGUGAAAUCCUGUGGCUUAACCAUGGGCUUGCGGUGGGUACGGGCAGGCUUGAGUGCGGUAGGGGAGACUGGAAUUCCUGGUGUAGCGGUGGAAUGCGCAGAUAUCAGGAGGAACACCGGUGGCGAAGGCGGGUCUCUGGGCCGUUACUGACACUGAGGAGCGAAAGCGUGGGGAGCGAACAGG
rnacentral:rRNA from 1 species